GAUGAACGCUGGCGGCGUGCUUAACACAUGCAAGUCGAACGGAAAGGCCCUGCUUUUGUGGGGUGCUCGAGUGCCGAACGGGUGAGUAACACGUGUGUAACCUGCCCUUGACUUUGGGAUAACUUCAGGAAACUGGGGCUAAUACCGGAUAGGAGCCCCCGCAGCAUGGUAGGGAUUGGAUAUUUUCGCCGGUCGGGGCUGGAUGCGCGGCUUAUCAGCUUGUUGGUGGGGUAGUGGCUUACCCAGGCUUUGACGGGUAGCCGGCCUGUGUGGGGUGCCGGCCACAUUGGGCCUGAGAUACGGCCCAGACUAGAAUGGGAGGCAACGGUGGGGAAUAUUACACAAUGGGAGGGAGGCUGAUGCGGCAACGCCGCGUGGGGGAUGACGGGCUUCGGGUUGUGAACCGCUUUCGCCUGAGACGAAGCGUGUGUGACGGUAAUGGAUAAAGAAGCACCGGCUAACUACGUG
rnacentral:rRNA from 1 species